rnacentral:snoRNA from 1 species
UAUCCAUGGUGGGAGCAAAGGGUUCACAACUCUUUAUACUUUUCCCAGGCUUGGUAUAAGGUUUCACUAUCCUUUUGGGCAAAUGAAGAAAUUUGCUUCUUAAGGGC